rnacentral:miRNA from 1 species
UGAUUUUACAAUAGAUAGAUA